AGUCUCGGGUGAUUGCUGAUGUCAUAAAUAAGAGUGCCAAUUGUUAAAUCAACAAUGGGAGUCACUGGGUACAUGGUCUCCGUGUAGGAUCUCUGUCCUUAAUGUGUUUUAGUAUGAAACUUAAAAACAACACUACUAGUUGAACAAUGCCCUAUACCUUGUGCGGUUGUGUGAGGGCAGCCUGUUGAAAUCCUUGCUUAGUACAUACUAAGUUGAUCUUCUGUAUAUGAAGGUACCUGUGCUUGUGUCGUUAUUUGGAAAUACGGUCUUUGAAUAUGCAAUGAGGAAAAGGUCAUGUUGUGUUAUCCAGUGGCUAGUGUCCUCCUAAAACAAGAGAGAUUUGAAGAUGCUUAGAGACAUAGAGGAGACAAAGGGAAGAUGCCAAUGUGAAGUUAGAGACAGAGAGCUGAGUUACACUACCUGAAGUCAGGUAAUGCCAAUGAUGGUUGGAAAUCAUCAUAAGGACUAUAUUGAAUAGCAGUGGUGAAAGUGGACAUCCUCAUCUGGUUCUGGAUCUCAGUGGGAAAGCUUCCAACUUUUCUCCAUUCAAUAGGAUGCUGAACAUUGUGGUCAGAUAAGAUGCAUGGUUCCUGGAUUGGACUCCUUGAACUGCUGUUGAUGUAAAACACUGUGCUAAGUCAGAUGCAUAGCUACCUUGGAAUCGUUGACAGUUGAAAAACCUCUUCAUGAGCCUCUAGGACUCAGUAAGAUGAUCUCUAUGUACUGCUAGAAACACAACUGGAGGAUUCAUGCGAGGAGAUUGGGACAGGCACCUGCUCAGGUAAAGAAAAGGAUUGCAAAUUUCUGCUAUGUCAAGCAGCCUAAAUGACAGUGUAAUAAAAUGAGGUCUGAACUGGGAGACUCCAAGACUUACAUCAGCUCUCCGAAGAAAGGCAGAAUGGAAUUUCACAUUCUGCCUAUUUCCCCUGUGACAGAGACGUGGCUUCCGUAAUUUACGGUAGAACUGUAGCGACUGGCAAGAGUUCAAGCUGAGAAUACUAUACACUAUGAAUAAGGCACCGAGUCCCAGAAAGGCCAGAACCAGGAGUACACAGUUAAGUAGGUGACGAUUAGGAUCAAAGUCCAUCUGAUUUGUCAAGAAACAUGUUCUGUCAUAUCAUAUAUCUUUCUUGCUAUGCUUUGUUUCUCUGCCUCUUGUGAAAUAUAGGAAAAGGAAAUAAAAGUUGUAAAUAAAGAGCUUUGAACUAUUAUAUUUUAUGAAUAAACAUAAUUCUGUCCCUAAGCCUAUGUUUUUAGCAGGGUUAUCUCAGAUGUGUAUUGCUUGCUUGCACUGGUUUUAAGCAUGUGGCCAAAAUGUUCCCUUAGACCUCAGCGUUGUCAAUUAAGUGGUGUUGGUUACUCUUAGGAUAGAGAUAGCUAACAGCACUUUAUUUCAGCAAUCAAUGUUACUGACGGAGUGAGAAAUUAUGUAAUGGGUUUCAGUGGAAAGUGUUGCAAGGGAUCUAUUUUAUCAACUUCUAAGCUCACAUUUGGGCUGAGCAAUACAAAGAUAAAAGGCAGACAAUGGCCAGGCAGCUUUACUUUCAUUGCUUUCAGCUUGAAACAGGUUAGUGCCGACCCACUUAAAGGCUGUGCAUGUGGCGGCUGCCUAAAGUACAAAUAUGUUCCAUAAAGUGGCCCAGCAGGUUUGUGUUUUCCUCCCUCGAUUGACUUUCACAUCAAAGUGGCUCUGUUCUCAGCUGAACAUAAUGGGACUUCAUCCUAACACCUUGCCAAGCUCUCAUGGAUGUUGGCAUGGAAAAAAUGUGAACGCUGCCUCAUGAAUCCUCUUCCCAGCCCUCGGAGUGAGUGGCAAGUGAUGUCCCCACCACUUUCCAGUGGAGGAAACAAAGGUAAAGUAAAUUGUUCACUUAGCAUCCAAACCCCAGACUUCUAGACAUUGCCACGUGGAUAUCCUGUUGGCUUGUCGAAGUCAACUUGCCACAGAUUGAGCUCCUUCUCUACCCUUUUCCAAACCUCAUCCUUGUUUCCAGGGACUGUGUCUUGCGAAGAGCACUACAUAUCUAUGUCUUCCCAGGACAGGACAUUCUGAAAAGUUUUUGAUUCUUUUCACUGCACAUUCAAUCCGUUAAUGAUGUUUGCUUUCUUUCCUUCGGGAUAUUUCACCAAUCCAUCCUUAAGUCCAUUCAGUCAUUACAUCCACCAUCCAGAUUAGUGAGAAAAAAUUCUUUAUUUAAAUUUCCAAUUAUGCUUCUUCAAUUUACUCUUUAUUUUGUCUCAUAAUUGCUCUUCCUGAAAUAGAGGUUUACAACUUCCUCUCUACUCAGAAUGUUUUGAUGGACUCACAUGACCCAAACACACACACACACACACACACACACAACCCCGAGUUCAUGGCAGGGAAAUCUGUCAAGACAGGGCACAUUCUCCUUCUGAGGACCCCCUGCCACCACCCCCCACUAGCUAGAGGGGCCAACUUCCCAACUCCCGGGUGCCUUUGCUCCCGUUUCAGCUUCAGUUCUUGCUGGAAUGCCUGUAUCUCAGCUCAUUUGUCUAGCAAAUUCUAUUCAUUCUUUAAGGUCCUGUUCUUCUGUUCCACUGGUUUUGUUUUCCAUUUUGAGUCAUUCAUCUGCCUGCUCUGUUAAUUAACCUCUCCCUCUUUUGGACUUUCAUAGCAAUUCAUUACCAUGCUCUACUCUGUUUGGAGUGAGUUAUUAUCAUUUCCCAAAAUAGCAUGUAAGUUCCUUGAGCACAAAGUCUGUAUUUUAUUUAUCUCUGAAUUUUAUUAGUGCUUAGCAUGCUCUGGGUACCUAAGUAAAAAGCAUUUUAAUGACAAUAUUUAGGUAAUAAAAUAACUUUUUUAAAAACAAAUGUUAUCAUAUUUAAUACUUAAAAUAACCGGUAGGUGUUCUUAUUCACCUCUAAAUUACAGAUGGAAAAAAGUGAGGUCUACAGAAGUCAAAGGAAUUUUCUAUAACCUAUUUGAUAUUAGAGUGAGGAUGUAAGCCCAGUAUUCUCAACUGUAAGCCAUGAUUUUCAGUCCACUGUGCGAGAUUGCACAUAAACAGAAAUAAUGUUGGAAAUUUGGCCUGAUACAUACUGAUUUUGAUGAAAUAAGCUUUUUUGGCUACAAAUUCAUGUUAUAUGUUGUUCAUAGUAAAGGAUUGUUAAUAUCCAAAAGAUUCUUCACUUUUUCUACACCUUAUAGUAAGAAGACAAACUCUUUGAGAUUAUGUCAUGUUCAAAUUAGGAGCAACUAUUGCACCAGUGUGUUCAAUAUAAGAAUUAUUGAUUACAUAAUAGAUCUAAUUGAAGAAAUUUUGAUGUCCUUGGCCAUUUUGUCUUCAUAUCACUAACAAUGGCUAACCUUUUAUGGAAAAAAGUGUGCACAGCUUGGUUGGUUCCUACGACCAGACUGUGACUGGAGGAGAGGCAUGGAGACCUCCGGUUAAAGUCAUGGACAUCUCUACCAGGAGGUCCUGGAGCUGACCAUCUUGCUUCACCCAGGCCUGCUAUUUCACCAUCUCAUCAGAGCAAGCAUCACUUGGCUUAGCUACAAGUCCAGUCCAGGCUGUUAUCCUUAAUUAUUCACUCUGAUUUGGCCUAGAUUGAUCAGGGAACAGACUGUUUACAGCCUUGUUUUCCAAAUGCUUUGCCUUGUGAGCAUAGGUAGUUGGAAGGACAGAAAGUUCAAACUCUAAUUUCCUAGAGAUGUUUAAAGAUCACUCAAGCAAAUAGAUUCCAUCAGGGUCUACCCUUCCUUUCUGACACGCAUCCAACAUCCCCUAAGUUCCCCUAUGCUGUCUAGUCUUCUGUAUUUCUCACUCAAUCCUUUGUGUACCAUGUGGUUCACUUCCCACUCCAUUUACGACAACUCCAUCGCUUUUUAAUUUAUAUUCUAUGAUUUGCCUUUUGAAUUAUUACUGACACUGUGAUACUUGUUGCUGAUUAUUUAAGCACCAUUUGAAGUUCUUGAAUGAAUGUGGUAGAUUAGUUGCAAAAAUGAACUCAAUUCUUUGAUCAGCUUUUUUCUUAGCUCUUCUCAUGUUUCUACCCCUUUUCAACCAUCAAGGGGAGGUUUAUUUCCCCAUCCCUUGAACCUAUGCCUAAUUUCUGUUUUGCUUUGGCCAAUGAAAUGUAAUGGAGUUGAUAGAGUGUCAUUUCUCAGUAAGGCCUUAAAGGGGGCAUCUAUGCUUAUGUUCUCUCCUUGGAACCCAUCCACCUUGUGACUAAGCCUGGGCUUCCUGAUGGAGGAUGAAGUCCAUGUUGGGGAGGAGCUAGUUAUUCCUGCUAAGACUGUCCAAGGCUGUUGUAUAUUGGCUGACCUCUAAACAUGCAAAAAAGCAGGCAGUUGCAUCCCCAGUUGAUUGAAUAUGCAAGGGUGAGACCAACAGAAGCACCCAGGUGUCAAACAGACUCAAACAAUGAUAAAAUUCUUACUGUUUUGAGCCAACUUGAAUUUAGGUGGUUUGUCUCAAAGCAAUAACUGACUCACACAAUGCAUUACUUCAUUAAAGCCUCUUUAUAUAGUGGUGUCAGUAUUAAUAUCCAUAUUUAAUGGAUGAAGAACCUUAAGGUUAGCAAGAUCAAGGUACUUGUUCAACUUCUCACAGUGAAUGAAAAGGCCAGGAUUUGAGCUAGUCUUAACUACAGAGUUUGCAUGAUUAAACAGUAUGUUAUAUGGUUCUCUUUCUGGAACAUAUAAUUUGCAACCAUAUUCCUAGAGUCAUUAAAUCUAUUGGAGAAAUAAUUUAGCUCAUGUCCUGUGAUUUCUACCUACGGAGAUGUAGACCCAGAGUUGACUUGUUUGUCCAAGAUCACAAAGUCAAACAGUAGUCCUAGGUUUUUGAUCACUUCAUCUGCCCUAAUUUAUUCCACAUUGUUAAGAACAUUCCCCUUCUUACCAAGUGAUGAAGGUUCUUGAUGUUUAAUGCUCUCUCUGUUUUCUUUAGUGCCUAGUAAAGUGCUGAAUACUGGGAGUGUUUAGCCCAUAUUUAUUAAUUGGCUGCUUGCUGGCAUCUGUUUCUGACAUUGGAAAUGUCUGGACAGCAGACAGAGUGGCCCCAGCAGCAGUAAUGGGAUAGGAAGAGGCAGCCAGCUGGAAGUCUGUGCCAGUACGGGAACUGUCUGCUCAGGCCUAGACCCACAUGGAAAUUCUCAUCCUUUGCAAUUACUGUGUUUUCUAAGAGGCAUCGUAUUUGCUGUUCACCAAAUUGUCAGGGCUGGAUUUUGUUGCUGUACAAGAUAAAGGGAAAAAAAAAAACACCCUCACAUUUGGGAGAAUGAAAUUAUUCCUACUCGGAGGGAAGCCCUAAGUUUCAGAUUUUGCUUUCACACAACUUGUGGUAAGAUUGUCCUUCAAACACUGGAAUGAAUGUAAGCAAAAACUGAUUUGAGCAAGUCUAAGUAGCAUCAAAUUCGACCUGGAGCCUUAAACUUGCGCUCUUCUGGUCUGCCCUCUGUAUAAGCCAAGAAAUUCAGCUUUGUGAUAGAUUUAAUUAAACUGCUAACAUUGGUGGGGGGCACAUUCUGGGGAAAGGAGUUUUUUUUUAAUGAUUUAUUUAUUUUAUUUGAAAGGCAGAGUUGCAGAGAGGCUGAAGCAGAGAGAGAAGGGGGAGAGAGGUCUAAUAUCUGCUGGUCCACUCCCCAGAUGACCACAAUGGUUGGAGCUGCUUCAAUCUGAAGCCAGGAGCCAGAAGUCUCUUCUAGCUCUCCCACAUGGGUGCAGGGGCCCAAGGACUUGGGCCAUCUUCCACUGCUUUCCCAAGCCAUAGCAGAGAGCUGGAUCAGAAGUGGAGCAGCCGGGGCUUGAACCUCACCCCCUGUGCCA